rnacentral:rRNA from 1 species
UACGAAGGGUGCAAGCGUUAAUCGGAAUUACUGGGCGUAAAGGGUAGGUAGGUGGUCUUAUUUGUCUGGGGUGAAAGCCUUGAGCUUAACUCAAGAAGUGCCCCAGAAACGGUGAGACUAGAGUCCUGGAGAGGGUCGUGGAAUUCCCGGUGUAGCGGUGAAAUGCGUAGAGAUCGGGAGGAACACCAGAGGCGAAAGCGGCGACCUGGACAGGCACUGACACUCAACUACGAAAGCGUGGGGAGCAAACAGG